rnacentral:misc_RNA from 1 species
GAACAUAUGCUGUUCCAAUCACAAUUGGAGCAAUCGGUUUGGUUACUGUAAUUGUCAUUGUUGCUGUCGUUUUAUUUAUCAAGAAAAAUAAGAAAGUUGGAACAGAAACCGCAAAAGGUGGAAAAUCAGAUAAAGUUGUAAAAAUGGAGGAUGGAAUGGUUGAAAUUGAAUUGGACUCUCAACCAGGAACACAACAUGCAACACCACGACGAUAA